GACGGAAGGUGCAAGCGUUGCUCGGAAUCACUGGGCGUAAAGGGUGCGUAGGCGGCCGUGCAAGUCUGACGUGAAAGCCCCGGGCUCAGCCCGGGAAGUGCGCUCGAAACUGCGCGGCUCGAGUGCCGGAGGGGAGAGUGGAAUUCCUGGUGUAGCGGUGAAAUGCGUAGAUAUCAGGAGGAAUACCGGUGGCGAAAGCGACUCUCUGGACGGCAACUGACGCUGAGGAGCGAAAGCGUGGGUAGCAAACAGG
rnacentral:rRNA from 1 species